rnacentral:lncRNA from 1 species
AAAAUUUUAUUAGAUGAAUCGUUUGUUUCAUCGCCUGUAUUAAAUGUUAAAAGAAUCAACAGUUGAAAGCAAAUUCAAUAUUAACAACAAUAAAAUUAAUUUAAUCAAAUUUGCCAAUUUCACAAACAAAAGGAAAUUUAAUCUCACCUAUGAACAAGAAAAUAGAUGGACGCAGAUAAUUUUAGCGAAAAACUACUAGGGGACAUUUUAGCGCAGACAUUAGAGCCCAUUUUAGCGCAGGAUUAAUCCGUUCAGCUGUAUUUUCGAUAGCCUAUUUUAGCGAAAACUUUCCUAGUUGAAUAAUACUAAAACCACGAG